rnacentral:rRNA from 1 species
CGCGUAGGCGGCUAUUUAAGUCAGGGGUGAAAUCCCGGGCUCAACCCGGAACUGCCUUUGAAACUGGAUGGCUAGAAUCCUGGAGAGGCGAGUGGAAUUCCGAGUGUAGAGGUGAAAUUCGUAGAUAUUCGGAAGAACACCAGUGGCGAAGGCGACUCGCUGGACAGGUAUUGACGCUGAGGUGCGAAAGCGUGGGGAGCAAACA